rnacentral:rRNA from 1 species
UACAGAGGGUGCAAGCGUUAAUCGGAAUUACUGGGCGUAAAGGGUGCGUAGGUGGUUUGAUAAGUUAGGUGUGAAAGCCCUGGGCUUAACCUGGGAACUGCGCCUAAUACUGUUGAACUUGAGUACUGUAGAGGAAGGUGGAAUUUCCGGUGUAGCGGUGAAAUGCGUAGAUAUCGGAAGGAACAUCAGUGGCGAAGGCGACUUUCUGGACAGAUACUGACACUGAGGCACGAAAGCAUGGGGAGCAAACAGG